GUCCUCCCUGAGCCUUCUCCUAAUUGUCCAGGAGUACAGAGGAAGUUCUGAAUGUUUUGGAUUCUAUGGUACAGUGAACAAAGAAAAGGAAAAAGUUUG